GAUUAAAUGGCUGAAAUUUAGGCAGUAGAUUGUAAAUCUAUUUAUGAAAAUAAAAUUUCUUUAAUCA
rnacentral:tRNA from 1 species